rnacentral:tRNA from 1 species
GGCAGGAUGGUCGAGUGGUCUAAGACGUGGGAUUUAAGUUGCAUAAACUUCCCCAUCACGCAAGUGGCGCGGGUUCGAACCCCGCUCCUGUCA